rnacentral:rRNA from 1 species
AGUGAACGCUGGCGGUAGGCCUAACACAUGCAAGUCGAACGGCAGCACAGUAAGAGCUUGCUCUUACGGGUGGCGAGUGGCGGACGGGUGAGGAAUACAUCGGAAUCUACUUUUUCGUGGGGGUUAACGUAGGGAAACUUACGCUAAUACCGCAUCCGACCUACGGGUGAAAGCAGGGGAUCUUCGCACCUUGCGCGAUUGAAUGAGCGGAUGUCGGAUUAGCUAGUUGGCGGGGUAAAGACCCACCAAGGCGACGAUCGGUAGCUGGUCUGAGAGGAUGAUCAGCCACACUGGAACUUAAACACGGUCCAGACUCCUACGGUAGGCAGCAGUGUGCAAUAUUGGACAAUGGUCGCAAGCCUUAUCCAACCAUACCGCGUGUGUUAAGAAAGCCUUCCGUUUGUAAAGCCCUUUUUUUGGUAAAGAAAAGCAUCAGCUUAAUACCCCGCUUUUCUGACGGUACCCAAAAAAUAAGCACCGGCUAACUUCGUG